UACAGAGGGGGCAAGCGUUGUUCGGAAUUACUGGGCGUAAAGGGCGCGUAGGCGGCCUCUUAAGUCGAACGUGAAAUCCCCGGGCUCAACCCGGGAACUGCGUCCGAUACUGGGAGGCUUGAAUCCGGGAGAGGGAUGAGGAAUUCCAGGUGUAGCGGUGAAAUGCGUAGAUAUCUGGAGGAACACCGGUGGCGAAGGCGGCAUCCUGGACCGGUAUUGACGCUGAGGCGCGAAAGCUAGGGGAGCAAACGGG
rnacentral:rRNA from 1 species